UACGAAGGGGGCUAGCGUUGUUCGGAUUUACUGGGCGUAAAGGGCGCGUAGGCGGCAAUUCAAGUCAUCUGUGAAAUCUCCGGGCUUAACUCGGAAUGGUCAGGUGAUACUGCUUUGCUAGAGUGCAGAAGGGGCAAUCGGAAUUCCUGGUGUAGCGGUGAAAUGCGCAGAUAUCAGGAGGAACACCGAUGGCGAAGGCAGGUCUCUGGGCCACUACUGACGCUGAGAAGCGAAAGCGUGGGGAGCGAACAGG
rnacentral:rRNA from 1 species